UCAAAUACGAAAUAUGAAAUAAUUCCGGUAAAUAAUGUCGGUAAAAUCAUGAAAAUACCGAACAUUGGGAGGUACCAAUAUAUAGGGGCUAUACAAAGACGGGGACCUGCAUACGAAAUUUUUUUCCAUUAAAAUCUCCCAAUACGGAAUUUGAAACGAUUUUGGUGAAUAAUGUUGCUGAAAUCAUCAAAACACCGAAUAUCGGGAGUUACCGUUAUAUGGGGGCUAUACGAAGACGUGGACCUGCAUACAAAAAUGUUUAUCAUAGGCUGUAGUACCCAUUACGAACUUAGCCUUCUAUCUCAAUUCGUUCGAAAGAUAGCGUGAUUAAAACAGACAGACAGACGGACUUCGCUAGAUCGUCUUGGAAUUUUACGCUGAUCCAAAAUGUAUAUAUUUUGUAGCGUCAAUUAUAAAUAUUUCGAAGAGUUACAAACGGAAUGGCAAAGUUAAUGUACCCUCCAUAGAAUGGUGGAGGGUAUAAAAUAAAUUGGCAAAUAGAGCCAAAGAAGAUAUUCCCGUGAAUCCUAAAUAGAACAAAUCCUGAAUAUAUACUGAUUUUUAAGCAAAUUCAAUUAAUCAAAAUUAUAUUUAAAGAGCAGGCUGAGUUAGAGCAUGCCAAUGUAUUUAAUUCUAAACUUAGGGAGAUAAAACCUGGACUAUAGGCUUAUAAGCAAGUUUUCGCGAUAAUUGGGAAUAAAAACAAGUCAAAGGUGACGGAAAUAUCGUCUGUGUAUCAAAAUUCUCCUCCAAGUAGAAGUUCUUCAUAUGUGAAUGGCACAAUACAUCAAUCUAUUUCUAGUGCACCAGAUAUAAUGCUUGAAUUUUCUAACGAUACUAACGCGUUGAACUGUCAAAAUACCUGCAAUUUCACGUCUUUAAAUUCCAUCGAAGAAAUUGUAAAAUUAAAAAAUAACAAAAAAUUGUCGGUUAUUAAAGAAAACAAGCAAACAAACAAGCUGUGAAUUCGGGGAAGUUCGAACUUUGAAUAAUUUAUAAAAAUUCCGAUGGAAAAUACAUAUCAUAAAUGUACCGAAUAUAGGGAGUAACCUUUAAUUUGGAACCUAUGCGAAGAUGUGGACCUGUAUAUCAAAUUUUUGUCAUAAGCAAUUGCGAUAUUCUGAUAUGAAACUUAAAGCAAUUCCAGUGAAUAAUGUCGCUAUAAUCAUAUAAUAAAAUACGGAAUAUAGGGA